UGCGGUGGUCAUAGCCACGGGGAAACGCCCAGAAUCCCAUACCGAACCUGGAAGCUAAGCCCGUGAACGCCGAUGGUACUGCACCCGGUAGGGUG
rnacentral:rRNA from 1 species